UACGUAGGUGGCAAGCGUUGUCCGGAUUUACUGGGCGUAAAGAGCGCGCAGGCGGUCGUUCAAGUCGCGUGUGAAAGCCCCCGGCUCAACUGGGGAGGGUCACGCGAUACUGAGUCGACUCGAAGGCAGGAGAGGGUAGUGGAAUUCCCGGUGUAGUGGUGAAAUGCGUAGAUAUCAGGAGGAACACCGGUGGCGGAAGGCGGCUUUCUGGACAGUAACUGACACUGGAGGCGCGAA
rnacentral:rRNA from 1 species